GACGAACGCUGGCGGCGUGCUUAACACAUGCAAGUCGAACGGAAAGGCCCUGCUUUUGUGGGGUGCUCGAGUGGCGAACGGGUGAGUAACACGUGAGUAACCUGCCCUUGACUUUGGGAUAACUUCAGGAAACUGGGGCUAAUACCGGAUAGGAGCUCCUGCUGCAUGGUGGGGGUUGGAAAGUUUCGGCGGUUGGGGAUGGACUCGCGGCUUAUCAGCUUGUUGGUGGGGUAGUGGCUUACCAAGGCUUUGACGGGUAGCCGGCCUGAGAGGGUGACCGGCCACAUUGGGACUGAGAUACGGCCCAGACUCCUACGGGAGGCAGCAGUGGGGAAUAUUGCACAAUGGGCGGAAGCCUGAUGCAGCAACGCCGCGUGCGGGAUGACGGCCUUCGGGUUGUAAACCGCUUUCGCCUGUGACGAAGCGUGAGUGGCGGUAAUGGGUAAAGAAGCACCUGCUAACUACGUG
rnacentral:rRNA from 1 species